GCUCGGUUGGUGUAGUCCGGCCAAUCAUUUCGGCCUUUCGGCUAAAAUUCGGGCAUUGCCCGUUUAGGAAGAAAGCCGAUGACCGGGGUUCAAAUCCCCGACCGAGCA
rnacentral:tRNA from 1 species